rnacentral:sRNA from 1 species
GCGUUUGCGAGCCUCGGGUGGUCCUCAGGGAGGGUCUCUCGGCCAGAACGCGUGGAUGCCCACCCACCACUGAGCCUCAUGAAGGGGGCUGGCACCCAGGGAUUCCUGGGGUGCUGGUGUGUGUCCUUUCAGGAGGUGGUAACAUUUGGCGAUGUGGCUGUGCACUUCUCUCGGGAGGAGUGGCAGUGUCUGGACCCUGGCCAGAGGGCCCUCUACAGGGAAGUGAUGCUGGAGAACCACAGCAGUGUGGCUGGACUAGCAGGAUUCCUGGUUUUCAAGCCUGAGCUGAUCUCCCGGCUGGAGCAGGGAGAAGAGCCGUGGGUCCUCGACCUGCAGGGAGCAGAGGGGACAGAGGCACCAAGGACCUCCAAGACAGAUUCUACGAUUAGGACGGAGAAUAAGCAGGUCUGUGAGGACAUGGACAUCCUAAAAUCAGAAUCCUAUGGGACAGUGGUCAGAAUCUCCCCACAGGACUUUCCUCAGAAUCCUGGCUUUGGAGAUGUUUCUGAUUCUGAGGUCUGGUUAGACAGUCAUCUGGGCAGUCCU